AGUGAACGCUGGCGGUAGGCCUAACACAUGCAAGUCGAACGGCAGCACAGUAAGAGCUUGCUCUUACGGGUGGCGAGUGGCGGACGGGUGAGGAAUACAUCGGAAUCUACUUUUUCGUGGGGGAUAACGUAGGGAAACUUACGCUAAUACCGCAUACGACCUACGGGUGAAAGCAGGGGAUCUUCGGACCUUGCGCGAUUGAAUGAGCCGAUGUCGGAUUAGCUAGUUGGCGGGGUAAAGGCCCACCAAGGCGACGAUCCGUAACUGGUCUGAGAGGAUGAUCAGCCACACUGGAACUGAGACACGGUCCAGACUCCUACGGGAGGCAGCAGUGGGGAAUAUUGGACAAUGGGCGCAAGCCUGAGCCAGCCAUACCGCGUGGGUGAAGAAGGCCUUCGGGUUGUAAAGCCCUUUUGUUGGGAAAGAAAAGCAGCAGGUUAAUACCCCGCUGUUCUGACGGUACCCAAAGAAUAAGCACCGGCUAACUUCGU
rnacentral:rRNA from 1 species